rnacentral:misc_RNA from 1 species
AUGCAACUAAAAAGUAGAGAAAGUAAUGAAUGGUUGUCUGUCUUAGAAAAUGAGAUAUGGAAGUCAUUUGAGGAUGAUAGUGAUGUUGGUCCAGUAUUGAAAUUGAGUUAUGACCACUUGCCAUAUCAUUUGAAGCAAUGUUUCACAUAUUGUGCAAUGUUUCCUAAGGAUUAUCCGUUUGAUAAGGAGAUAUUAAUUUAUUUAUGGAUUGCACAAGGUUAUGUUCAAUGCUGGAGUCAAAGUGGAAAUGAAAGU